rnacentral:rRNA from 1 species
GCGGCGUGCUUAACACAUGCAAGUCGAACGGAAAGGCCCUGCUUUUGUGGGGUGCUCGAGUGGCGAACGGGUGAGUAACACGUGAGUAACCUGCCCUUGACUUUGGGAUAACUUCAGGAAACUGGGGCUAAUACCGGAUAGGAGCUCCUGCUGCAUGGUGGGGGUUGGAAAGUUUCGGCGGUUGGGGAUGGACUCGCGGCUUAUCAGCUUGUUGGUGGGGUAGUGGCUUACCAAGGCUUUGACGGGUAGCCGGCCUGAGAGGGUGACCGGCCACAUUGGGACUGAGAUACGGCCCAGACUCCUACGGGAGGCAGCAGUGGGGAAUAUUGCACAAUGGGCGGAAGCCUGAUGCAGCAACGCCGCGUGCGGGAUGACGGCCUUCGGGUUGUAAACCGCUUUCGCCCGUGACGAAGCGUGAGUGACGGUAAUGGGUAAAGAAGCACCGGCUAACUACGUGCCAGCAGCCGCGGUGAUACGUAGGGUGCGAGCGUUGUCCGGAUUUAUUGGGCGUAAAGGGCUCGUAGGUGGUUGAUCGCGUCGGAAGUGUAAUCUUGGGGCUUAACCCUGAGCGUGCUUUCGAUACGGGUUGACUUGAGGAAGGUAGGGGAGAAUGGAAUUCCUGGUGGAGCGGUGGAAUGCGCAGAUAUCAGGAGGAACACCAGUGGCGAAGGCGGUUCUCUGGGCCUUUCCUGACGCUGAGGAGCGAAAGCGUGGGGAGCGAACAGGCUUAGAUACCCUGGUAGUCCACGCUGUAAACGGUGGGUACUAGGUGUGGGGUCCAUUCCACGGGUUCCGUGCCGUAGCUAACGCUUUAAGUACCCCGCCUGGGGAGUACGGCCGCAAGGCUAAAACUCAAAGGAAUUGACGGGGCCCCGCACAAGCGGCGGAGCAUGCGGAUUAAUUCGAUGCAACGCGUAGAACCUUACCUGGGUUUGACAUGGAUCGGGAGUGCUCAGAGAUGGGUGUGCCUCUUUUGGGGUCGGUUCACAGGUGGUGCAUGGCUGUCGUCAGCUCGUGUCGUGAGAUGUUGGGUUAAGUCCCGCAACGAGCGCAACCCUUGUUCACUGUUGCCAGCACGUUAUGGUGGGGACUCAGUGGAGACCGCCGGGGUCAACUCGGAGGAAGGUGGGGAUGACGUCAAGUCAUCAUGCCCCUUAUGUCCAGGGCUUCACGCAUGCUACAAUGGCUGGUACAGAGAGUGGCGAGCCUGUGAGGGUGAGCGAAUCUCGGAAAGCCGGUCUCAGUUCGGAUUGGGGUCUGCAACUCGACCUCAUGAAGUCGGAGUCGCUAGUAAUCGCAGAUCAGCAACGCUGCGGUGAAUACGUUCCCGGGGCCUGUACACACCGCCCGUCAAGUCAUGAAAGUUGGUAACACCCGAAGCCGGUGGCCUAACCGUUGUGGGGGAGCCGUCGAAGGUGGGACUGGUGAUU